GCAAGUCGGACGGAGAAAUUCUGUGUAGCAAUACGUAGAAUUUUUGAGUGGCAAACGGGUGAGUAACACGUGGGCAAUCUACCCUGUAGUGGGGAAUAACGGCUCGAAAGGGUCGCUAAUACCGCAUGAGGUUGAACUUACGCAGGUAGGGACAAUCAAAGGACGCAAGUCCGCUAGAGGAGGAGCCUGCGAUCGAUCAGGUAGUUGGUGAGGUAACGGCUCACCAAGCCGUGGACCGAUAGCUGUUCUGAGAGGAAGACCAGCCACACUGGGACUGCGAGACGGCCCAGACUCCUACGGGAGGCAGCAGCGAGGAAUAUUGCGCAAUGGAGGGAACUCUGACGCAGUAACGCCGCGUGGGGGAAGAAGACCUUCGGGUUGUAAACCUCUUUUUAUUCAGACGAGAGAGGACGGUAUGGAUAGAAUCAGUCUCGGCUAACUACGUGCCAGCAGCCGCGGUAAGACGUAGGAGGCGAGCGUUAUCCGGAUUCACUGGGCGUAAAGCGCAUGUAGGCGGUUCGUCAAGUCGUGUGUUAAAGCCCCCGGCUCAACUGGGGGAGGUCAUGCGAGACUGAGGGACUUGAGGGCAGCAGAGGCACGUGGAACUCCCGGUGUAGCGGUGGAAUGCGUAGAGAUCGGGAAGAACACCCGUGGCGAAGGCGACGUGCUGGGCUGCAACUGACGCCGAGAUGCGAAAGUGUGGGGAGCAAACGGGAUUAGAUACCCCGGUAGUCCACACUGUAAACGAUGAACCCUAGGUGUGGGGGAGUAAAAUCUUCUGUGCCGAAGCCAACGCGUUAAGGGUUCCGCCUGGGGACUAUGAGCGCAAGCUUAAAACUCAAAGGAAUUGACGGGGGCCCGCACAAGCAGCGGAGCGUGCGGUUCAAUUCGAUGCGACACGAAAGAACCUUACCAGGGUUUGACAUGGACGUGGUAGGGAAGGGAAACUGGACCGACUC
rnacentral:rRNA from 1 species